rnacentral:lncRNA from 1 species
GUCCCAGACCUCAUUUAAGAGUUGGCAGUGGAGGCAAGGCUAUCUUGCUGGAGAUCCCUGAUGUUUUGAGGCCUUUCAAAGGUUUUCCAGAAAUAUGCCUGGUGUGAGUGUGACUGUUUCCUCCCAGACCAUAUUUCCUCUGUUGCCUUGCCAGGGUGCCAAGGCCUGCUCAAAAGCUAUGCAACAUUUUUGUCUGGUUGGUUGCUUUAUUUUGUUCUAACUGUGAAAUCG